GGACACACUACCGAAGGUUGUCACGGGCUAAAAGACGAGUUAGAAAGGAGACGCUCCCCUAGAAGGGAGAUGAGACGCAGAAGUCCGGAAAGAUCCUACAAGAGAAACGAUCGGUCAAAAGAUCGAUCGAGAAGUCGCUCCCGAGGGUGAGAACCUGACCGGCCGGCCAGGGGCAGAAUCGACACUAUCUGGAGGUUUGGUCGGAGGAGGAACCUCUUCCUCUGUCC
rnacentral:lncRNA from 1 species